GAUUAGAUACCCUAGUAUUUAUAUUUUUAAAAAAUUAAUAUAAUUACAAAAAAUUAAUAAUUUUGGUAGCAACAAAUUAAAAAUUAGAGGAGCUUGUUUAUUAGUAGAAUAUGCUCUCUAAAUUUUAAUAUUAUUAAAAGUUUAUUCAUCUCUGUUUUAUCACAAAUUUUAAAAAAAAAUAAUUUUUAAUAUUUCAGGUCAAGAUGUAGCUAUUUAAUAUUAAAAAAUUAGCUACAAUUAUAAAUUAAUAGUUUUUACUUUGUAAAAUUUAUUCUAAAUUGAAUUUAAUAGUAAUAUAUUAUCCAGAAUAAUAAUUUGAAUUACUUAAUUUUGUAUACAGAUAGCCCGUCACUUUUAUUUUUAAAUAUUAUUAUAAUAGAAUAAGUCGUAACAAAGUA
rnacentral:rRNA from 1 species